CGAACGUUUGUUAUAUAAAGAGACAGUACGCCUUUCCCGCCACAUGGCCGAGCGUCGACGACUUUGGGCUAACUGUCUGGAUGUUCGAUGCACAAUUGAGUGCAUCCUGUUGGGCUGUAUCACUGCCUGGUAUGGCAACUGCACCGCCCACAACCGCAGGGCUCUCCAAAGGGUGGUGCGGUCUGCACGACGCAUCACCAGGUUAAACUACAUGCCCUCCAAGACGCCUAUAGCACCCGAUGUCACAGGAAGGCCAAAAAGAUAAUCAAUGACCACCCGAGCCACUGCCUGUUCACCCUGCUAUCGUCCAGAAGGCGAGGUCAGUACAGGUCCAUCAAAGCUGGGACCGAGAGAAGCUGUUUUUCAGUCUCUCAAGGCCAUCAGACUGUUAAAUAGCCAUCACUAGGCUGCUACCUACAUACAGACUUGAAAUCAUUGGCCACUUUAAUGGAACACUAGUCACUUUAAUGUCUACAUAUCUUGUGUUACUCAUCUCAUAUGUAGAUACUGUAUUCUAUACAGAAAUUGCUCAUCCAUAUAUUCUUAUAAACUUGGUUCGAGCCCUGAAUGCUGAUUGGCUGACAGCCAUGGUAUAUCAGACCGUAUACCACGGGUUUGACAACUUAUUUUUACCGCUCUAAUUACAUUGGUAACUAGUUUAUAAUAGCAAUAAGGCACCUCAGGGGUUUGUGAUAUAUGGCCAAUAUACCAUGGCUAAGGGCUGUGUCCAGGCAGAACGCGUUGCGCCUAAGAACAGCCCUUAGCCGUGGUAUAUUGGCCAUAUACCACACCUACUCGGGCCUUAUUGCUUAAUUAUUCCAUUCCUUUACUUAGAUGUGUGUAUUAGGUAUUUGUUUUGAAAUUGUUAGAUAUUGCUGCACUGUGGGAACUAUAAACAAGUAUUUCACUACACUCGCAAUAACAGCUGCUAAACACGUAUGUGACCAAUAAAAUGUGAUAUUGUA